AGAGUUUGAUCCUGGCUCAGGAUGAACGCUAGCUACAGGCUUAACACAUGCAAGUCGAGGGGCAGCAUCAUCAAAGCUUGCUUUGAUGGAUGGCGACCGGCGCACGGGUGAGUAACACGUAUCCAACCUGCCGACAACACUGGGAUAGCCUUUCGAAAGAAAGAUUAAUACCGGAUGGUAUAGUUUUCCCGCAUGGGGUGACUAUUAAAGAAUUUCGGUUGUCGAUGGGGAUGCGUUCCAUUAGGCAGUUGGCGGGGUAACGGCCCACCAAACCAACGAUGGAUAGGGGUUCUGAGAGGAAGGUCCCCCACAUUGGAACUGAGACACGGUCCAAACUCCUACGGGAGGCAGCAGUGAGGAAUAUUGGUCAAUGGACGAGAGUCUGAACCAGCCAAGUAGCGUGAAGGAUGACUGCCCUAUGGGUUGUAAACUUCUUUUAUACGGGAAUAAAGUGAGCCACGUGUGGCUUUUUGUAUGUACCGUAUGAAUAAGGAUCGGCUAACUCCGUGCCAGCAGCCGCGGUAAUACGGAGGAUCCGAGCGUUAUCCGGAUUUAUUGGGUUUAAAGGGAGCGUAGGCGGGUUGUUAAGUCAGUUGUGAAAGUUUGCGGCUCAACCGUAAAAUUGCAGUUGAUACUGGCGACCUUGAGUGCAACAGAGGUAGGCGGAAUUCGUGGUGUAGCGGUGAAAUGCUUAGAUAUCACGAAGAACUCCGAUUGCGAAGGCAGCUUACUGGAUUGUAACUGACGCUGAUGCUCGAAAGUGUGGGUAUCAAACAGGAUUAGAUACCCUGGUAGUCCACACUGUAAACGAUGAUUACUAGGUGUUGGAGGAUUGACCCCUUCAGUGCCGCAGUUAACACAAUAAGUAAUCCACCUGGGGAGUACGACCGCAAGGUUGAAACUCAAAGGAAUUGACGGGGGCCCGCACAAGCAGUGGAGUAUGUGGUUUAAUUCGACGCAACGCGAAGAACCUUACCAAGUCUUGACAUCCCUUGACGAUGCUGGAAACAGUAUUUCUCUUCGGAGCAAGGAGACAGGUGGUGCAUGGUUGUCGUCAGCUCGUGUCGUGAGAUGUUGGGUUAAGUCCCGCAACGAGCGCAACCCUUAUGGUCAGUUACUACGCAAGAGGACUCUGGCCAGACUGCCGUUGACAAAACGGAGGAAGGUGGGGAUGACGUCAAAUCAUCAUGCCCUUUAUGACUUGGGCUACACACGUACUACAAUGGCGUUAAACAAAGAGAGGCAAGACCGCGAGGUGGAGCAAAACUCAGAAACAACGUCCCAGUUCGGACUGCAGGCUGCAACUCGCCUGCACGAAGUCGGAAUUGCUAGUAAUCGUGGAUCAGCAUGCCACAGUGAAUACGUUCCCGGGCCUUGCACUCACCGCCCGUCAAG
rnacentral:rRNA from 1 species